rnacentral:rRNA from 1 species
UGGGGAAUAUUGGACAAUGGGCGCAAGCCUGAUCCAGCCAUGCCGCGUGAGUGAUGAAGGCCUUAGGGUUGUAAAGCUCUUUCGCCGGUGAAGAUAAUGACGGUAACCGGAGAAGAAGCCCCGGCUAACUUCGUGCCAGCAGCCGCGGUAAUACGAAGGGGGCUAGCGUUGCUCGGAAUCACUGGGCGUAAAGCGCACGUAGGCGGAUCGUUAAGUCAGGGGUGAAAUCCUGGAGCUCAACUCCAGAACUGCCCUUGAUACUGGCGAUCUCGAGUUCGAGAGAGGUUGGUGGAACUCCGAGUGUAGAGGUGAAAUUCGUAGAUAUUCGGAAGAACACCAGUGGCGAAGGCGGCCAACUGGCUCGAUACUGACGCUGAGGUGCGAAAGCGUGGGGAGCAAAACAGGAUUAGAUACCCUGGUAGUCCACGCCGUAAACGAUGGAUGCUAGCCGUUGGGGGGUUUACCUCUCAGUGGCGCAGCUAACGCCUUAAGCAUCCCGGCCUGGGGAGUACGGUCGCAAGAUUAAAACUUAAAGGAAUUG